UACGUAGGGGGCAAGCGUUGUCCGGAAUCAUUGGGCGUAAAGCGCGUGUAGGCGGCCCGGUAAGUCCGCUGUGAAAGUCCAGGGCUCAACCCUGGAAUGCCGGUGGAUACUGUCGGGCUCGAGUCCGGAAGAGGCGAGUGGAAUUCCUGGUGUAGCGGUGAAAUGCGUAGAGAUGGGGGAGAACACUCGUGGCGAAGGCGGCCAGCUAGACCAGUUCUGACACUGAGGCGCGACAGCGUGGGGAGCAAACAGG
rnacentral:rRNA from 1 species